AGAGUUUGAUCCUGGCUCAGAACGAACGCUGGCAGCGUGGAUGAGGCAUGCAAGUCGAACGGGAUCGAGUCUAGUAGUAAUACCUGACUCGUGAGAGUGGCGGAAGGGCGAGUAAUGCGAGAGUAAGCUACCCUUCAGUUCGGGACAACGUUUGGAAACGGACGCUAAUACCGGAUACGAAGUACGGACGAAUGUUCGUAUCUUGAAAGAUGGGGACCCGCAAGGGCCUGUUGCUGGAGGAGGUGCUCCCGUGCCAUCAGCUUGUUGGUGAGGUAAUGGCUCACCAAGGCUUACGGCUAGGUGGACUGAGAGGUUGGUCACCCGCACUGGGACUGAGACACUGCCCAGACUCCUACGGGAGGCUGCAGUCGAGGAUCAUUCGCAAUGCGCGAAAGCGUGACGAUGCGACGCUGCGUGGAGGAUGAAGGCCCUCGGGUCGUAAACUCCUGUCAUGAGGGAAAAGUGGAUACCCGCUAAUACCGGGUUAUCUUUGAUGGUACCUCAAGAGGAAGCCACGGCUAACUCUGUGCCAGCAGCCGCGGUAAUACAGAGGUGGCUAGCGUUGUUCGGAUUUACUGGGCGUAAAGCGUGCGUAGGCGGUCGCGUGUGUCGGAUGUGAAAUCCCGGGGCUCACCCCUGGAAGUGCAUCCGAAACUGCGUGGCUUGAGUCUGGGACGGGUGACUGGAACACAUGGUGUAGCGGUGAAAUGCGUUGAUAUCAUAUGGAACACCGGAGGCGAAAGCGAGUCACUGGAACAGAACUGACGCUGAGGCACGAAAGCGUGGGGAGCAAACAAAAUUAGAUACCCUGGUAGUCCACGCCGUAAACGUUGCACAUUUGCCGUUGGGGGAAUUGACCCCUCCAGUGGCGGAGCUAACGCGUUAAAUGUGCCGCCUGGGGAGUACGGCCGCAAGGCUAAAACUCAAAGAAAUUGACGGGGGCCCGCACAAGCGGAGGAGCAUGUGGCUUAAUUCGAUGCAACGCGAAGAACCUUACCCAGACUUGACAUGUGACUGCACGCCCUGUGAAAGCAGGGUUCCUUCGAGGGUGUCACACAGGUGCUGCAUGGCUGUCGUCAGUUCGUGCCGUGAGGUGUUUGGUUAAGUCCACCAACGAACGCAACCCCUGCGUCCAUUUGCCAACAGGUAAUGCUGGGAACUAUGGACGGGCUGCCCCUUCAAACGGGAGGAAGGUGGGGAUGACGUCAAGUCAGUAUGGCCCUUACGUCUGGGGCUGCACACGUGCUACAAUGGUCGGUACAGCAGGAAGCAAGACCGCAAGGUGGAGCAAAACCCUAAAGCCGGCCUCAGCUCGGAUUGGAGUCUGCAAUUCGACUCCAUGAAGUUGGAUUCGCUAGUAACGGCGCAUCAGCAUUUGGUGCCGUGAAUACGUUCCCGGGCCUUGCACACACCGCCCG
rnacentral:rRNA from 1 species